rnacentral:rRNA from 1 species
GACGAACGCUGGCGGCGUGCUUAACACAUGCAAGUCGAACGGAAAGGCCCCUUUGGGGGUACUCGAGUGGCGAACGGGUGAGUAACACGUGAGUAACCUUCCCUUGACUUCGGGAUAACUUCAGGAAACUGGGGCUAAUACCGGAUAGGAAUCCUUGCUGCAUGGUGGGGGUUGGAAAGCUUCGGCGGGUUUGGAUGGACUCGCGGCUUAUCUGCUUGUUGGUGGGGCAGUGGCUUACCAAGGCUUUGACGGGUAGCCGGCCUGCGAGGGCGACCGGCCACAUUGGGACUGAGAUACGGCCCAGACUCCUACGGGAGGCAGCAGUGGGGAAGAUUGCACAAUGGGCGGAAGCCUGAUGCAGCAACGCCGCGUGCGGGAUGACGGCCUUCGGGUUGUAAAACGCUUUCAGCAGGAGCGAAGCUUGUGGUGACGGUACCUGCAGAAGAAGCACCGGCUAACUACGUG